AAAAGAUUAGGAAAUGAGGGAAAAGGAAAAAAGAAAGAGAAAGAGAAUAAAGAAAAGGAGAGGAAGAAUUUUCAACAUUCUCCCCUCCCACACUUCCUCCCUCUCGGCUAGAAAAAUUCAGAAGUAAGAAGAGAAAGAGAAGGUAUUUUCAAAAUCCUUUAAUUUCCAUGGUUAAAUGUAAGUUUUAUGAAAUUUAUUUAUAGAGGACAUAUUUAUGUUUGUAUUUGAUGGAUUUAAAUUUUUAUAAACAAGAAUUAAAUAAGAAGCAACAAGAAAUCCAAGAAAUUAGCUUCCCCGAAAGUAUCGCCAAAAAAUUGUUCUUUAACGACGUUUUCUGAGUUGUUUUCAAAACUAAAACCAUGGUUAGAUCGGCUCAUAAAUAUAGUAAAACAAAUUUGGGCAAGAAAAUCAAAGAAAAUUUUCUGGAAAAUAUUGGACAGUUCGCCGGAUUAGAAGAUGAGCAGAAAAUAUUUUCCAGCAAACUUUUUUAGUAAGCCCGUUUCUCUAUGUUAGAGGCAGAAUUUAAAGAAACUCUAAAUUAUAUUUUUUAAUUUUUUGAUAAGAGGACUAAUUAUAAUGAAUUUUUGAAGUUUCAACACUUUGAAAAUUAUAAUUGAAUUGUCAAAAAAUUGUUUUCAGCUGAAAUAUUUUUAAAGUAAUCUUAUGAUAUUAUUUAUAAAUCACUGAAAUUUUUUGAUGAAUUAUUGAAGAGCAAAAAUAUUUAUUGUAUAUUUAAGUCAUUUAAAGUUAGUUUAAAAAUAGUGGAAAUUCAUAGAAAAUUUUGUGAAUUGUGGAAAAUUAUGAAACUUGGUGGAAAAUUUUAUAAUAAUAUAAGAUAAAUUAUAGCGCCCCCAAAUCUGGGUCCCUUGAACCUCGUACCUAUUACGUCACAAUACAUCAUCUUCAUACAUAUUCUAUAAACUAAUGUGGAAUUAUAAAUAUAAAUUGUUUAUUACACAAUGGUUCUGUAAUAUUUCUCAAGAUCUACAUCCUUUAUCUUAAUACAUACCUUUAAUAAUUCACAAGGUUUACAUCAUCAAUUUACGCCAGUUAUCAUAAUAGAUAAAUGUUCAUAUAAAACUAAUCUCCAUCUUUUCCUUUGCCUUUGCCCUUCUUUGAGCAUUCGAGUUAAACUGAAAUAUAUUCAUGAUAUAGCAAGGGUGAGCAACUACUUUGCUCAACAAGUUUAAAUACAAUAAAGAUAUAUCAUGAUUUAAAGAAAGAAUAAACUUUCAAGUUUUUCAGCAAUAUAAUAAUUGUGAAGAGCAUGAAUCAAAUUUCAAUACAUGAAUGAUUGAAUUAAUAACGCUGAGUGGUCAAUAAUGACUAUGAACAAAUACUUUGGUAAUGAAGGUGAUUAACCUUUCAUACCUGAUACACAUAUGCAAGGUGCACUAAGUGCGAAUUAAUAAUCAUAGAUGUGGAAUAAUUGUCAAUAAUUAAACCACUAGCAUUCUUGAAAAUUAUUAACUCGAGUUUAAGUUAGAAAAACUUGCAUGUAUCAUUGAUUACCGCUAAGCAAUCUAAUUUAAUCUCUUAUGAAAGAUCUAUCAUUAAUAAGAUCGAUCCUCCAAUUAGCAUAAUACAUUUUAUCUUACUAUAUUAUUACUCAAAUAAUAAAUUAGCUAACAUUUAGUCACAUAAUCAAACAUUAAAUACUUCUUUAACCCAUUAGUAAUAUUAUCAUCCCUCAAUAAUAUUACUAUCAUUUAAUCAUCAUCUUAAACUCUUGGCUAAUAUUAUUAAUCAUUUAAUAAUAUUUUAAUCACUUAAUAUUAUUAAUCACUUAAUAAUAUUUAAUCACUUCUUAACAUUAUUAAAUUAUUUAAUAAAAUCUUAAUCAUUCACAAAUAUUAUUAAUCCUUUAAUAAUAUUCUAACCACCUUUUAAUAUUAUUAAUCAUUUUAAUAAUAUUCAAAUCAUUUAAUAAUAUUAUUAAUCAUUUAAUAAUAUUUUAAUCAUCUUCUAAAUAUAAAAAAUAAAGGUCUCACACAUUUUAAGAUGUAAAUAUUUUACACCUUAAAGUUUAAAUUAUUUACAUUUUAUUUCACUCUUUUACUUUUAUCCGCAAAUUCGGAGUUUAAACCUCUAAUUUAAUACACAGCUUUUUAUAGUAAAACUUAAUUUACUAUAUUAUUUUUUUAAUUCAUUUUUAUAUCACUUUGUCCGUUAAUAAGUCAACACGGUCCGUUGCUUCAUAUACAAAUAUUUUAUCCUGCUAGCAGAUUCACUUUAUUUUCCGUUUUAUGAUAUAUAUAUAUAUAUAUAUAUAUAUAUAUAUAUUUCGUCACAUACAUCUCAACUCAAAAACUUCAUUUUUAACCACGAAAACUUCAAAAUAUCAUUUUUAUAAUUUAUACAAUUUUUUAAAGGUUUCUCGUCUUUCGUUGCACCACAAAAUAAUUUUAUAGGCAACUAUAGUUUUUAUUUUGCUUAAAUGUGUAAUUUAUAUUUAUUACAUAUUUUUAUUAUUUUAUUUAUGCCUGAAAAAAAGUUUCUCGAUGUAAAAUAUCAUUUAUAGUCAAAUCUCGCCCCGUAAAACUUUAUUAGAUUUAUUAUGACUUAUUAUUUCUCCGAAAUACGAUUCGGAACGUCGAACAUCAAAGUCGCUCGACAUGCCGACGCUCGGCGUUCGCUCGUUUUUAAGUUCUAACAUGCUUCUUUGUUCAUUUUUAACUCUCAAAUCAUGAGUCAUAUAACAGUGAAAUUUUGGGCAUGUUAUAGACAUCAUGUCAUAGUAUUAUAGAAAAAAUUCACAUAGCGAAAACAGAUCACGGAAACUAAUCAAAACAGGCCUCAAAAAUUCAUGCCGUGUAACAGCACUGCAGUGCCAGCAGCAGCAAGCGUUGGCGAAUGCCAAGCUCUGGUGCCCAGCUGCCUGCUCGUGCUGCUGCAGCGCUUAGAGACUUGGCUUCUUCGCGAUUUUUUAAUGUGUUGCUCGUAACUCCGAUUGAUUCCAUUUUUUGAUAUGUUUUUCGUAUCAUAUAAGACUAUUUUUAAAAAAUAUGUAACCCUCAUUUCGGGUUCAAUAGGCAGUCCAAACAAUUCGUCAAAAAUAGGCGUUCAUAACGAUUUUAACCUUUUUCCCAGCUUUACCCUCUCUCGCUAAAAUAGUCGUAACUUUUUCAUUUCAAAACAUUUUUGAGCGAUUCUUAAGCCCAUGUGAAGCUAAAUUCUGGGACUACAACUUUUAAUAUUUGACAUUUUCCAAAUUCUAAACAUAGUAUUCCAAAAAAUUCAUCUAAGGGGACUGCCUCGAGUUGGUUAGACAGUUUUGACGAAACUACUUUGAAUGGUCAUAACUCUUUGCUCUGAAAUCAAAAUUAGUCUAUUCCAGAGUCUAUGGAAAGCUUAUUCAGUGUACUAUAACAUACCAAAAGCCCAAAAGUUUUAGAGAAACCUUAGCUAACACCGAAAAUUUCUUUUUAGGUCAGCAGUUUACUAGUUUUCACACUUUAGAAAAUUAGUUUUCUUUCCUUUCCUUGUUUAAGCUUUUCACUACCAAAAAUGGUUAGAUCUACUCAUAAAACACACUAAAACUUGUAGAUCUAUGAUUUUAGAGUUCAAGAAACAUAGAUCUUUAUUUUGACAAAAACCAUCACAAUAAAUCAUAUUAACUAACUAGAGUUUUAAAAUAGGAGAACUUUAAAACCUUUUGUUUUGAUGACUUUUCUUCAUCUCCUUCCAAGAGUGAUUAUGGAGCUUGGAGGCAUGGAAACUUCUCUUCCUUCUUCCCUCAAGGGGCUGCCGAACCAACACUAUCCUCUCUCUUUCUAUUUUUUUUCUUCUCUGCUCUUUGGUGGAGAAUAGAAAGUAAAGUAACUCCUUUUUUUUAAAAUGUAUACAUAUAAUAUAUGUAUGUAUAUAAAUCUUGCAAAGUCUUGGUAAUUAUUAAUGAAGCUAUGCUAGGAGGACACAUGGGCUAGGGAGUGGUUGAACUACCCUUUGAAAAUAAGAGAAAAAUGAAAAGAACCAUGUGCUUAAAAUCCCUUACAUUAACCGGCCAUAUCUCAUUAUUUUUUGGCUAUUUUUGAUUUAUUUUUAAUUUGCUUAAUUUGGCUUAAUAAAAUGACAUAAAAAUCUCACAAUAAUUGGGCCAAAACUUGGGCCAUUUAAUUUAUUGUUUGGGAUUCUUAAUUUAAUUGUUUGGGCCAUGUAAAUAACAUAGACCAACUCAUAAAUUUUAUCUUACCCUAAUUAAUUAGGGUCUCUAUUCUCUUCCUUUUGGAAUUUAAAUACUUACAUACAUAGAUUUACUUAUAUAACCCAAAUUAACCUUUCUUUAAUUAGGUUUUAAAAUAAAUAAUAAAUUGAGAUAAUAAAAUUAAUCUCUUAGGUUAGUAUAUAUUUUAAAUACUAUAAUUCUCCAAUACUAUAACCAUUAGGUUAUUUAAUUCAUGUCCCUAAUAUAUAAUAUUAGGUUAUAAUACUCUCUUUUUUUAAUUUGUUCAUUAUAUAAUAAACAAAUAAAUACAUUAAUAUAAUAAACAUAUAAUAUCCUUUCCUUAUUAACAAUAAAUUCAAUUAAGAAUUUAUGUACUUCCUUAAGAUAUUAUUAUAAUAACUUUUCUUUAUAAAAUCAAUUUUAUAUAAGAAUUUAUUCUAAUAUUCUUGGGUAAAGUAUAUAUAAAUAUUAUAUGCUUAAACCGCCUCUUUUUGCUUCAUUACGCAAAUUGUUCCCCAACAAUUUUAUUUCCUCGCGUAAUAUAUAUAUAUACAUAUAUAUAUAUAUAUGUAUGUAUAUAUAUAUAUAUAUAUAUAUAUAUAUAUAUAUAUAUAUAUAUAUAUUAACUUUCAAUUACAAAUUACGCCAAACAUUCACACCUCACAUAUAGAAAAUAAUUAAUAAAUUUAUUUUCUAACAUUAUAAAUUGUUUAUAUCAAUUUAUUUACAUAUGCCAAAUAUCAUAUAUUUAUCAUAUUACGUAAACUUACAUAUCAUUCAUAGAUCUUAAAAUAAUAUAUAUACUCAUAUAUUAAACUAGACAUUUAAUUUAACGUCUAUUAAAUCUAUUAAUACGGUUUGCUACAUUCAAUAAGCCUUCUUCAUAUAGCUUACCAUAUAUAUUAUUUUGAGUUGCCAUAUACUUAAUCCCUUUUCUAAUAUUUGACUACUAGGUUAGGGUUAAUGUUCACAAGCUAGCUUCUAUAAUUAAGUUUUUAAUUUAUUCUUGUAUGAUUACUUUUAAAUUAACCAUUCAUCUUAUUUGGCUAAAAAAAAUAUCGCCUUCUAAGUAUAUAUGUAUCUAUACAUAUACACAUUAACUUUAAUCUUGUAAUAUCUUUUCCUUUGAAAUUUAAUAUUCAUUAAUAAAUUUCCACAUAUACCAUUACAUAAUUUGUUUCUUAUUUUUUUUUCAAAAUUUCUAUCAUUCUUAAUUAAUUUCUUUACAUUGCUUAAAAAUUCAAAUCAAACCAUAUAGGUUUUAAAAUUUUUAUUUAAUCUUCUAUUUCCACUCUAGGUUUUAAACUUUAACCCUUAAUUUAAUCAUUCAAGAUCAUCUAAAUUUUUGGGUUGUCACAUUCACCCCUUUUUCUAAGAAUUUCGUCCCCGAAAUUACAGUCUACUAAUCUCUGCUUCUUCUAUUAACCAAAAAUAGGUUUUCAAUUUAACCUUUACAUUUUCCUCCUCUGAGGAUUUCUCUUCUAUCAUCUCAUUCAACCAUUACUAUCAUUUUUAAGAAGUUAAAACUUUUCAUAUUAUGCUGAGGGUCAUAUAGACCAUGAACUCUUAGGUUUAACGGUAUUCACCGCAACCAAUUCUUUAAAUAUGUUGUACUAGGUGAUCAGCCUAGUACAGAUACGAGUACGUUAGGUGAUCAGCCUAUCGUAACCUACGUCGUGCACAACGUAUCAAUCUUGUUUAGCGAAUAUUUGCGCUACUAGAUUGGAUUAUUUUAUCCAAUCGGGGUUGUUCACCUCAGACUUAGCAUAUGAUUCCACACCAAAACAAUUUGGUUCGGGAUAAAUUCUCAAAGAAUUCUUUAAUUUUCUUAAACAUUUGCCUAGCUAAAUAAAAUAGCUUAGACGCAUAUCAAUAAUUCGAACAUCAAUCAAAACAUUUGUCUAGCCACUUUAAUUGGCAUUGACUUUUCUUUAACUGGUUUAAAAUUCUGAAAAUCAUGUUAUAACUUCAUGAUUCCGCACUGUAGUUACAGUCCGUUUGAGGAUUCCUUCAUUUUGUGUUGUUGUCAUAUUACAUCAUUCCAUAGUGGACUGACGAUCCUUAGAUCACAUCCAACAAAUAAUAUCCCUUACUUAGAAAGAAACUGGAUACUAGAGUAGUGAGGUAGCAGACUUCUCUUCUUCUUUCUCUCUAUAAUUCAUCUCUAUAAUAAUGGCUCUAAAGCUUGAGUGAAUUGAUAAAGAGUGAUGAAGAAAUGAGCUUCUAUUUAUAGGAAAAUAUAGUUUUGAUAAUUGCACGUUUUGGGGCUCAGAAUAUUACAGUAUAAUACCUUCCUCUUUUCCUUUAUUUUUAAUUUAGUCAUGCAAGUAUUAUCAAACUUGCACCACCUUCCCUAAUAGUAAAUAAUUUGAUUCAAUAGUAAAUCAUGUGAAUCAAUAGUUCUAGACAUGUGAAAAUACGAAUUACAGUAUAGUACCUCCAUCUAUACCUCCAUUUUUAACUUAGUCAUGCAAGUAUUAUCAACCUUGCACCAACUCCCCUAAUAGUAACAAUAAUGUGAAUCAAUAGUACAAACAUGUGAACAAAUAGUUAUAAACAUGUGAAUCAAAGUAAUUAAUUGCUCAUUUAUCCGGUUAAUUACCCGAUUGGUUAAAAUAACUUCCAGACAUCAAUUAUUAUCGAAAUAAAUGUCGAUUUUCACUAACACUAAUAAUUCCAACACAAUAGAAAUAUUUUUAUAAAAAAAUUUAUUUUUGAAAUUUCAAAGUUUGACUUUUCCCAAAAAAGUCAACUGUUGACUUUUUGACCAAAAAGUUAAUCCCGGAAAAUUUUGUGUUUAUAGUCUAUUUUUACUAAUUUCAUCGUUCCGGACUCAAAUAUCACGUCCGCAUCUCCAAAUUCAAAUCCGAACUCAACUUUGAUUUUUAAUAACAUUCAUCAUUAAUAAUAUAACUCACAAUAUUUAACAACCAGGUCGUUCCACUACUCGGUAGUAAAAGUACAGUAAUACGCGUGGUUGCAUAAUAGCACACGGUAUUGAUUAUUGAUACUUACGUGAGAAAUCACUCUGUUAUACUCAAUUAUUGCUACAGUAAUUAUUGCAUCAUAUCUCUCAUAUUAUUGAUUCGAUUAUUGUCACAGUAUCAUCUGCAUAAUAUGUUAUUUUAUUAAAUCAAUAAUUGAGACGACAAAGUUAUUCAUAUUAUUAAAUUACAAUAUUUAUAAUGUCUAGAAGUUCUGUCAAAGAGAAGUUUAGUCACCUAAUUGCGCGCCAAUAGGGAGAAAUCCUUAUUGGAAAGCCCCCUCUUUCCUGGGAACGACCUGGUUGAUAAAUUUUGUGAGUUAUAAUAUUAAUGAUGAAGUUGUGUUCGGAGUUGAAUUUGGAGACGCGGACGUGAUAUUUGAGUCCGGAACGAUGAAAUUAGUAAAAAUAGUCUAUAAAUAUAAAAAUUUUCGAGAUUAACUUUUUGGUCAAAAAGUCAACAGUUGACUUUUUUGGAAAAAGUCAAACUUUGAAAUUUCAAAAUUUAUAUUUUUGAUAAAAAUAGUUUCAUUGUGUUGUAAUUAAUUGUGUUAAUGAAAUCGAUAUUUAUUUCGAUAAAAAUUGAUGUCUGGAGGUUAUAUUGACCAAUCGGGUAUUUAACCGGAUAAAUGAGCAAUUGAUUGCUAUUAUUUCACAUGAUUAUAACUAUUUNNNNNNNNNNNNNNNNNNNNNNNNNNNNNNNNNNNNNNNNNNNNNNNNNNNNNNNNNNNNNNNNNNNNNNNNNNNNNNNNNNNNNNNNNNNNNNNNNNNNNNNNNNNNNNNNNNNNNNNNNNNNNNNNNNNNNNNNNNNNNNNNNNNNNNNNNNNNNNNNNNNNNNNNNNNNNNNNNNNNNNNNNNNNNNNNNNNNNNNNNNNNNNNNNNNNNNNNNNNNNNNNNNNNNNNNNNNNNNNNNNNNNNNNNNNNNNNNNNNNNNNNNNNNNNNNNNNNNNNNNNNNNNNNNNNNNNNNNNNNNNNNNNNNNNNNNNNNNNNNNNNNNNNNNNNNNNNNNNNNNNNNNNNNNNNNNNNNNNNNNNNNNNNNNNNNNNNNNNNNNNNNNNNNNNNNNNNNNNNNNNNNNNNNNNNNNNNNNNNNNNNNNNNNNNNNNNNNNNNNNNNNNNNNNNNNNNNNNNNNNNNNNNNNNNNNNNNNNNNNNNNNNNNNNNNNNNNNNNNNNNNNNNNNNNNNNNNNNNNNNNNNNNNNNNNNNNNNNNNNNNNNNNNNNNNNNNNNNNNNNNNNNNNNNNNNNNNNNNNNNNNNNNNNNNNNNNNNNNNNNNNNNNNNNNNNNNNNNNNNNNNNNNNNNNNNNNNNNNNNNNNNNNNNNNNNNNNNNNNNNNNNNNNNNNNNNNNNNNNNNNNNNNNNNNNNNNNNNNNNNNNNNNNNNNNNNNNNNNNNNNNNNNNNNNNNNNNNNNNNNNNNNNNNNNNNNNNNNNNNNNNNNNNNNNNNNNNNNNNNNNNNNNNNNNNNNNNNNNNNNNNNNNNNNNNNNNNNNNNNNNNNNNNNNNNNNNNNNNNNNNNNNNNNNNNNNNNNNNNNNNNNNNNNNNNNNNNNNNNNNNNNNNNNNNNNNNNNNNNNNNNNNNNNNNNNNNNNNNNNNNNNNNNNNNNNNNNNNNNNNNNNNNNNNNNNNNNNNNNNNNNNNNNNNNNNNNNNNNNNNNNNNNNNUUUAACAUUGUUGGAGACUAAUGAUAAUUUAUUCUGCAUUAUCUUAGUCAUAAUAUUUCUUACUGGGCUAGUUGAGCUCACCCUUUCUUUCACUGUUCUCUUCAGGAAAUGAGAAUAUAGCUGGGACGAAUCGAGGAACGGAGUGAUGGACCAGAUGAUAGUAUAAGUAGUCCUCACUAUUCUGUUAAAUAGUGUGACAAUAAAUAUAAUGACUUAUUCUGAGAGUGGAUAUUGUCUAGAAGACAAUAUUUGUAUUAAAACUCACAGUUUGUAUUUUGUCGUAUUUUACACGACAGUUGUAUUAUUAAGUUGUAUUUGAAUUUUGUACCAUGUAUUUGGCGACUCAAGAUGGGUGAUGUAUACCUAUUUUGGGGGCGUCACAGUUGGUAUCAAAGCUUAGGGAUAUGAUCCCUGGCUAUGAUGUGAGACAAGAACUAGGAGGAGAGAAACGGGGAAUUCCUUCGCUAGUAUGACCUACCUAAGUUUAUUUGGUAUUUAAUUGGUCGGUCAAAGUAUACGGAUAAUAUGUGAUAUGUUAAUUAACCCUUGUUUUGUGGCAGUAUUUGAAAAUGGCAUCCAAAAAUGUUGAGAACAUCAAUGGAGCACAGGAAACCGUUGAGUCUCCACAGAUCAAUAACCAGGACAAUGUGCAUCAGGAAGGCGACAAUCCUCAUCAGGAAGGCGACAAUCCUCAUGCAAACAACAACACUAACCAAAUGAUGAACGAUGGAUUGUUCUGAGGCUUCAUGCAAUUCAUGCAACAUCAGGCGAGAGCGGCUCCUGUCCAAAAUGCAGGUGGAAACACUGGUAACUCUCGGACGGUCACCGCCAAACAGUUCAAGGAGCUGGGACCACCGAAGUUUUUUGUAGAGCCAAAACCACUUAAGGCGGAGACAUGGAUAAAACAGAUCAACAAGAUAUUUGAUAUCUUGGGUUGCUCCGAGGAGCAAAAAGUUCCCUUCGCCACCUUCAUGUUGCUGGCAGAGGCAGAUUACUGGUGGGAAUCUGUAAAGUGUACCCAACCUGCCGCACUGAAGAUGUCUUGGGAGAAGUUUCAAGAACUGUUCAACGACAAGUACUUUCCCAAAAGUAUUCAUCACAUGAAAGAGGUAGAGUUCAUUAAACUGGAGCAAAAAAAUAUGACUGUGUCACAGUACGAAGCCAAGUUUGUCGAGUUGUCCCGGUUUGCGUCCCAUUUGGUUGAUAAUGAAGAGAGAAUGACGCGAAUAUUUCUAAGAGGUUUGAAACCCGAGAUACGUUAAUAUCUUAUCUCUCAUAAACUGUGUUUGUAUUCAGAUGUUGUUAAUAGGGCUCAGUUAUUGGAACACGAUAAUGAGUCAACCCAACCAAAAGAGAGCAGCCGACAAAAUGAUAAUACCAGUGAGAGCAGUCAUUAAAGCGGUGACAACAAACGUGGAGGGAAUCUGCAUGCCAGAAAUGGUAACCACUUCGGUGGUAAUCAGGAACAAAACAAUAAGAAUGGACAUUUCAAGAAGAGGAGAUUCAACAAUGAUGGAAAGACGUUAGCACCAACACUCGUUGUGAAGGAAGGAGAACGACCACCUAUUAUAUGCUUCAAAUAUGGAGGGGAGGGACACAUCAGUCCAAAUUGCGCGAUGCCAUCCAAAGCAUGUUAUAAUUGUGGAAGAGAAGGUCACCUAGCCCAAUUUUUUCAUUCACCGAAGACAAGUUUAGCUAGGAUAGAGGCACCAAAGGUUGUCCCAGAAAAGUCAAAGCUGGUAGUACAAGGGAGAGCGUUCGUUGUGACCUCCCAGAAAGCAAGAAACCCGAACGAGGUCAUCACGGGUAAACUUAUCAUAAACUCUAGCGAAGUCUAUACCUUAUUUGAUACCGGUUCUACCCAUUCUUUUAUUUCUCCUACUUGCGCUCAACGUUUAAAUUUGACUCCGGAGAAAUUAGACUUUGACUUAUCUGUUGAAACUCCGUUGGGAGAAACCUUCAUUACAUCCACUGUUUAUAAGUCUUGUUUGGUUCAAAUCGGUACCCUCACAUUACCUGUCGAUCUUAUUUCAUUGAAAAUACUUGCAUUUGACGUAAUUCUAGGGAUUGAUUGGUUAACUACUCAUCAUGCAAAAAUUGAUUAUUUUCGUAAGGUUGUUAGCUUUCAUAUUCCUAACCAACCUAUUAUGCGAAUUCAAGCAACCAAACCAUUAAAAUCAAUCACUGUCAUCUCAAGCCAUAAAGCUAUUCGUUUAUUGAAAAACGGAUGUCAAGCUUUCUUAGCUCAUGUCACGGAUCUAAACAAAAAUACGUCAGUUUUGAAUGAUAUUUCUAUUGUUAAUGAAUUUCCUGACGUAUUCCCUGAAGAACUUCCUGGCCUACCCCCAGAGCGUGAAAUUGAAUUUUGUAUCGACCUUGAACCCGGUACAAAACCCAUUUCCAAAGCCCCAUAUCGAAUGGCUCCUAUUGAACUUCAGGAGUUAAAGACCCAACUGCAGGAAUUGUUAGACAUUGGCUUUAUUCGUCCUAGUACUUCUCCUUGGGGUGCUCCUGUUCUAUUCGUGAAGAAGAAAGAUGGGAGUAUGCGACUUUGUAUUGAUUAUCGGGAGUUGAAUCAUGUCACCAUCAAAAAUAGGUACCCAUUGCCACGUAUUGAUGACCUGUUUGACCAGUUGCAAGGAGCCAAAUUCUUUUCAAAGAUUGAUCUUCGUUCCGGAUAUCACCAAUUGAAGAUUAGAACCGAUGACAUUCCAAAGACGGCUUUCAGAACUCGGUACGGGCAUUAUGAAUUCCUAGUCAUGUCUUUUGGAUUGACUAAUGCUCCUGCUGCCUUCAUGGAUAUGAUGAACCGAGUAUUCAAGGAAUAUUUGGAUCACUUUGUGGUCGUCUUUAUUGAUGACAUCCUUAUUUAUUCCAAAAGCCGUGAAGAUCAUGAGCAACACUUGAGGCUGAUACUCCAAAAGCUUCGUGAAUAUAAGCUUUAUGCCAAGUUGAAGAAAUGCGAGUUCUGGCUUGAGGAAGUAGCAUUCCUUGGGCACGUGGUAUCAAGUCAUGGAAUAUCUGUUGACCCAGCAAAGAUUGAAGCUAUUCAAAGCUGGGAGCAACCUAAAUCAGUGACCGAAGUACGUAGCUUUCUCGGCUUAGCUGGUUAUUAUCGGAGAUUCGUAGAAGGGUUUUCUCGAAUCGCUACUCCACUAACUCAGCUGACUCGGAAAGAUACAAAGUUCGGUUGGAGCGAGGAAUGUGAGAAGAGUUUUCAAGAACUCAAGAGGAGACUCAUUUCAGCACCUGUUCUGACAAUACCAUCUGGCUCGGAGGGAUUUGUCAUCUACAGUGAUGCUUCGGGCAAAGGGUUAGGAUGUGUUCUCAUGCAACAUGGGAAAGUCAUAGCCUAUGCCUCACGACAACUCAAAGAAUAUGAGAGGAAUUAUCCUACUCAUGAUCUAGAGUUGGCAGCUGUUGUCUUCGCACUUAAAAUUUGGAGGCAUUACUUGUAUGGGGAGAAAGUGGAGAUCUUUACGGAUCAUAAAAGCCUCAAAUAUUUCUUCACUCAAAAGGAACUCAACAUGCGACAACGACGUUGGCUUGAACUGUUGAAAGAUUAUGAUCAUACCAUCCAAUACCAUCCUGGAAAAGCGAACGUGGUAGCUGACGCAUUGAGUAGAAGAUCAUAUGCAAGUACGAGUGCGAUAUUGUCAACGCAAAGGCCCAUUUUGUGUGACUUGCAAAGGAUGGAGAUAGAGUUAAAGACUCCAGGGACCCAUGUGAUGAUGGCGAAUAUACGAGUAGAACCGACUUUAAUCGAUAAAGUUAAAGCUGCUCAAGCUACAGACCUGGAGCUGAUGCGUAUGAGGAAGAAAGUGCAAGAAGGUGCUAUGCCGGAAGCAAGAAUCGAUGAAGAAGGAAUACUUCGAGUCAACUCCAGACUUUGUGUUCCUAACGACCCUGAUUUAAAGUAUAAAAUCAUGAUGGAGGCGCACAACACACCGUUUGCAAUCCAUCCUGGGAGUACCAAAAUGUAUCGUGAUCUUCGACAUACAUUUUGGUGGAGCAAUAUGAAGAGAGAGAUAGCGAGGUUUAUCUCAAGGUGUCUAACUUGUCAACGAGUCAAGGCAGAGCAUCAAGUGCCAAAAGGUCCAUUGCAACCACUUGAAAUUCCAGAAUGGAAGUGGGAGCACAUUACCAUGGAUUUUGUUACUGGUCUUCCCAAGGUUUCUCAAGGCAUAGAUGCGAUUUGGGUCAUUGUUGAUAGAUUGACCAAGUCUGCUCAUUUCUUACAUAUACGAGAAACUUAUACACUUGAACGUCUUGCUAGUAUGUAUAUAAACGAGAUUGUAAGAUUUCAUGGUAUGCCAAUAUCCAUAGUUUCUGAUCAAGACCCAAGAUUCACUUCAAGAUUUUGGGUUAGUUUGCAAAAAGCUAUGGGCACAGAUUUACGAUUUAGUUCGGCAUAUCAUCCUCGGAUGGACGAACAAUCAGAGAGGACUAUUCAAACUCUUGAAGAUUUAUUAAGACUAUGUGUCCUUGACUUCAAGGGAAGUUGGGACAAGAUCUUUCCAUUGGUAGAGUUUUCCUACAACAACAGUUAUCAAGCAAGUAUUGUCAUGGCUCCAUUCGAGGCGUUGUAUGGAAGAAAGUGUCGUUCUCCAGUAUGUUGGGAUGAGGUGGGUGAAGCAACGUUGUUGGGACCAGAUUUGGUACGUAUGACUACGGAAAAGAUUCAAACAAUCCGACAACGUAUAAAAACCUCACAAGAUCAACAAACGAGUUAUGCUGAUCUUUAUCGAAAGAACGUAGAAUUCAAUAUUGGAGAUCAUGUGUUGUUACGUGUUGCUCCAUGAAAAGGAGUUACGAGAUUUGGAAAGAGAGGAAAGCUCAAUCCUCGAUUCAUUGGCCCAUUUUUAAUCCUCGAUCGAGUAGGAACUGUGGCGUAUAGACUCACUUUACCGCCAAGUAUGUCUCGUGUUCAUAACGUUUUUCACAUAUCCAUGUUACGUAAAUAUGUGAAAGACACGAACCACAUUAUUGAAUUAGAACCGGACAUGAUAGAGGAAGAUUUAACGUAUGAAGAGUUACCUGUUAAAAUCUUGGAUAAGAAGGAUCAUAUUCUACGCUCCAAGGUUAUACCUCAAGUUAAAGUUUUGUGGAGAAACCACGACGUGGAAGAAAUGACUUGGGAGUUAGAAUGUGAGAUGAAGUUAAGAUAUUCUCACUUAUUCGACAUACCAGGUACGUACCCUAAUUUUAAGGGAAAAAUUUCAUAAGAAGGGGAGGUUGUAAGACCCCAACUUUUAUGAAUAAAGAUGAUUUUUCUAUAAUUAUCAUUUUUGAAUAUUAUGGAAUGAAUUUUUUAUAAUGUUAUAGUUGUGGUUAGUAUUUAUAAAUUCUGCAAAAUAUGCAAGUUGUUAUAUUAUAUUCGAUUGGUCGGAGAAUAUUCAUUUUAGCAGGGAAUAUUCGUACAACGGCGCAAUCAUUGCUGUACCCCACAACAGAAUUAUUGUUGGAUUGAGAAAACGAUAAAAAUAUAUUUAUGAAAAUAACGGCAGAAGUUUAACCGUUAAUACUGUUGAACUACUCGAUAGUAAAAGUACAGUAAUACGCGUGGUUGCAUAGUAGCACACGGUAUUGAUUAUUGAUGCUUACGUGAGAAGUCACUUUGUUAUACUCAAUUAUUGCUACAAUAAUUGCUGCAUCAUAUCUCUCAUAUUAUUGAUUCGAUUAUUGUCACAGUAUCAUCUGCAUAAUAUGUUAUUCUAUUAAAUCAAUAAUUGAGACGACAAAGUUAUUCAUAUUAUUAAAUUGCAAUAUUUACAAUAUCUAGAAGUUCUGUCAAGGAGAGGUUUGGUCACCUAAUUGCGCACCAAUAGGGAGAAAUCCUUAUUGGAAAGCCCCCUCUUUCCUGGGAACGACCUGGUUGAUAAAUUUUGUGAGUUAUAAUAUUAAUGAUUAAGUUGUGUUCGGAGUUGAAUUUGGAGACGCGGACGUGAUAUUUGAGUCUGGAAUGAUGAAAUUAGUAAAAAUAGUCUAUAAACACAAAAUUUUUCGGGAUUAACUUUUUGGUCAAAAAGUCAACAGUUGACUUUUUUGGGAAAAGUCAAACUUUGAAAUUUCAAAAUUUAUAUUUUUGAUAAAAAUAGUUUCAUUGUGUUGUAAUUAAUUGUGUUAGUGAAAAUCGACAUUUAUUUCGAUAAAAAUUAAUGUCUGGAGGUUAUAUUAACCAAUCGGGUAUUUAAACGGAUAAAUGAGCAAUUCAUUGCUAUUAUUUGAUAUGAUUAUAAUUAUUUGUUCACAUGUGUAUACUAUUGUUUCACAUUCUUGUUAUUAUUAGGGGAGUUGGUGCAAGAUGGAUAAUACUUGCAUGACUAAGUUAAAAAUAGAGGUAUAGAUGGAGGUACUAUACUGUAAUUCGUAUUUUCACAUGUCUAGAACUAUUAAUUCACAUGAUUUACUAUUGAAUCACAUUAUUUACUAUUAGGGGAGGUGGUGCAAGUUUGAUAAUACUUGCAUGACUAAAUUAAAAAUAAAGGAAAAGUUGGAGGUAUUGUACUGUAAUUUUUCUAGCCCCAAAACGUGCAAUUAUUAAAACUAUAUUUUUCUAUAAAUAGAAGCUCAUUCUUCUUUCAUUUCUCACCAAUUCACUAAAGCUAUAGAGCAAUUAUUAUAGAGAGAAAUUAUAGAGAGAAAAUCUAUAGAACAAGAGAAGCCUGCUACCUAACUAUUCCAGUAUCCAGUUUCUUCUGAGGUAAGGGGUAUUAUUUCUUUCUUUCGUCUUCAUGAAGAGAACUUCUGUUAUUCCAUUUUUUUUAUUAAGUUGGAAUAACCUGUCUAUGCGAAGUACCGCAUACUUGGUGAAAUUCUUCUGUUAUUCCAUUCUUUAUUAUUCUGUUGGAACAUCCUGUCUGUGCUUUACGCAUAACCUGGUUCCGUCUUUAUUAUUCUGUUGGAAUAACCUGCCUGUGCGGUCUACCGCAUGCUUGGUGAUUUCUUUUGUUAUUCCAUUCCUUAUUAUACUUAGUUGGUUAAAGUGUUGACUUCUAUACUCCCUGAAAUUAGUGGAAUAUCCUUGAUACUUGCGCUUCAUCCAGUAUUUUUUCAUGGAAAUAUUCUUCUGAGCAUUCUUGAAUUUUAUUCUACAAAGAAGUAUCAUGUUGACAAUUUGGAUGUUAUUAGUUUCUGAAUAAAUUAAUUCUUGAACUUAUUUUAUUGAAUUCUUAUAUCAUUGUCAUCAUCCUCAUAUUUAUAUUUUUUUUUUGAAAGUCAUUUGUGGCCUGUAGUGCAUAGAUGGACUUGGUAUGAUUAUGACCAGGGAUUAUUCGGUGUAAUCAUGACCGUAAUGUUACAAAUGAUGUGGUAAAAAGUCCUCAUUGGCCCGUAGUGCAUGGAUAAUUUGUGGUCUUGAUACUAAAGAAUAUCUUUGGCCGUAGUGCAGGGGUGAUUCGAUGAUGUGGAUUAUUUAUUAAGUUGAGUCUCAGUGAUAAAAGUGACGAAAACCUUUUAAAUCAUAAAAGAUAGUAGAUUUUAUUCUCUAUUUGACUCUUUUAAUGGAUUGCUUGUUCCGCUGCAGUUAAACUUGAUGUCUAUUAUAUUUUAUCAGUUUAACAUUGUUGUAGACUAAUGAUAAUUUAUUCUGCAUUAUCUUAGUCAUAAUAUUUCUUACUGGGCUAGUUGAGCUCACCCUUUCUUUCACUGUUCUCUUCAGAAAAUGAGAAUAUAGUUGGGACGAGUCGGGGAACUGAGUGAUGGACCAGAUGAUAGUAUUAGUAGUCCUCACUAUUCUGUUAAAUAGUGUGACAAUAAAUGUAAUGAGGACUUAUUCUGAGAGUGGAUAUUGUCUAGAAGAUAAUAUUUGUAUUAAAACUCACAGUUUGUAUUUUGUCUUAUUUUACACGACAGUUGUAUUAUUAAGUUGUACUUGAAUUUUGUACCAUGUAUUUGGUGACUCAAGAUGGGUGAUGUAUACCUAUUUUGGGGGCGUCAUAGUUCUCUUCAGAAAAUGAGAAUAUAGCUGGGACGAGUCGGGAAACGGAGUGACAGUCCAGAUGAUAACAUUAGUAGUCCUCACUAUUCUGUUAAAUAAUGUGAUAAUAAAUGUAAUGAGGAUUGAAUUUGAGUUUGUAUACUGUCUAUGAGGACUCCAUUGAGAGUGGAUAUUGUCUAGAAGGCAAUAUUCUUGAUUAAACUCUCAGUUUAUGUUUUGUCGUAUUUUACACGACAGUUGUAUAAUUAAGUUAUAUUUGAUUUAUGUACCAUGUAUUUGGCGACUCAAGAUGGGUGAUGUAUACCUAUUUUGGGGGCGUCACAGAUAUGGUUUUCAAAUAAAUAUAAUUCCUUUAUGAAUUUAAAUGUUAAGCUCUUAAAAAAUAUUUCCAGCAAAUAAAAGUUGCCUUGCAAUUAAUAACUCAAGUUAAAAAUUCUUACAUUAAUUUUCUAGGUGAUAUCCUAGGGACCUAACCGAGUGGUGUCUCUAAGAACCUUUUCUUCAUGAUGAGCCACUUGAAAUCUGGACAUGAAUGAUGAGUCCAAUAAAAUUACAAACAUCUUUAUACAAAAUACUCCCUCCAUCCCAAAAUAAUAGACGUUUUAGGGUAUUUUUUUUCCAAAAUAUCUGACGUUCUACAAUCCCAAGAAUAUUUUGGCAUUUGUUUUCCCUCUCUACCCUUCCUUCUCCACCACUAUUAUCAGAUUCGGGAGGUGGCGAGCACGGAGAAAACCGGCGUCUUCAUCUUUCUUUCUCUCUCCUCUGUUUUUUUUUUGGAAAAUAAGAACAUCCCCUAAAUCCUAAUCUAUCAGAUCUGCGAUUACCUCAAAUCAUUACCAACGGAACCCUAAUUAAAUCGAUUCGAAUCAAAUUUACAAUGGGCGAUUUCAAUCUUGCGCUUGUGAUCGUAGCCAUAGUUGUCUCGAUUUUGGUCUUUAUAUUCAAUGUUUACCUCCUCGUGAACUACCAGCAUCCAGAUGGCAAAAAUCAGGCCUAUUUCCCCAAAUUCGUCGUCGUUUUGGGCCUCUCCGUUGCCGCCCUAUCGAUACUAAUGUUGCCGGCCAAUGUGGCCAAUCGACAAGCUUGCCAGCACGCCAUAUACAACGGCGUGUGUAAUUUAACAUUGCCGGUCAUGGUGGGGGAAGGAGUGUCGGUCAUGGUGGCGGCAAGGGAGGUGGCUGAAGAGAUUAAAAAGAAGACAGAGAGAAGGCUGAAGAGAGGAAGAAGACGCAUUAUAAAUUAAGGGUAAAAUAGUAAAAUUAUAACUAUUCUUAAUCUUUGUAAAACUCUUUAGAACGUCUAUUAUUUUGGGAUGGAGGGAGUAUAUGUUGUCGUCGUUAAAAUAAAACUCAUAAAUUAACAUUUUUCCCCUUUUUAAUAAUGAUAAUAUAUUACCGCCUAAAUAUUUAACACUCCCCUAAGAUUAUGAUUAUGCAUAUUAAGAAGCAAUAAAUAACUUGAUCAUACAAACUGUCAACAUAGCCAGUAAAAUACUCAUCAUGGACAUAAUGCACGUAGGAUUAAGCUAAACAGAUUCCACGGUACCAUUAAUUGCAUAUCAAAUAACCAUAAUCAAUAUAAUAUCAUAGUACCAGCAUGCAUUAAUAACAUGGAGUAUUAGAUAAUCAGUUCAAGAAUUUCAAAACCAAAUGAAGUCUGUUCAAAAAGUCAAAUUUGUCCAAAAACACCAAACCAUUCAGUUUUACCAAUUUCUCCCCCUUUGUCAUUAUCAAAAAGAGAGAAACAAUAUUCUCAUUCACUGUCUGUCUCAAAGCACACCUCAUCUAGCUUUUUGUCCAUGGCAACGAGCUUUGUUUCAAUAGCAUUUUGUUCAGCCACAAUGUCAUCCUCUCUCUCUCUCUGAAACAGUGUUGAUUCUUGCAGAAACUGCAUCAACCUUCUCCAACACAGUAUCAACUUUGGUCAUCAUUGUGUUCAUAAGAGAAAGAAGUGCAGAGGUGGAAGAAGCAAACGAAGGUAUAAAAGUUGAGGGAGCAAGACCAAAACACAAGGUAGAUGAGGGAGGAAGAAAUGGUAGACCACGAAAUAGGUCAUCCAUUGAAUCAGUGUGAACUUCAACAUUCCUAAAAAUAAUGCUACCAUCAUCAGUGACCUCAAGGCAAGAAUUUUGAAACACUUCUUUGUCAAUUACCUAGCUCAUUAAGUUGAAAAACCUCUUCAUGUUCAAAAAAAACUUGAAAUUGAUCCAAAAUAGUUGUUAUAAAACCACCAUAAAGAAGACUUAGUUUUAUUUUUCAAACAACUUUCAAUGUGUUUAAUCAUCAUUAAUGCAAAGUUAAAUUUAAUUCCUUUCGAAAUCAAUUUGGUAAAUUAGUAAGAGACGUAAGCUUAAAAUAAAAUUGAUAAAUAAAUCAACUUAAUCAAAUGAAAAAAGUUGACUAAAAUGCAAAACUCUCCCCUAUGUUUGUAUCCAUGUGAUGUCUAUGUUCUUGAGUACGGCAUAAGUAAAAUUCUUUCUCAAAAUUUAAUUUUUAGUGCAAAAUGGUAUGUAUAUUUAGCACUGCAAAAUUAUCUCAAAAGGCAUAGUUUUACACUAUUACUUAUAUCACGAGAUAAGAUUUAUUUCAAAGUUCUCUUUAGUUUAUUCCCACGAUAGUUAUGUUAUACAUGGAAUGGCAAAAGCAAUUUUGGACUAAUUAAAGCACUUGAAAGAGAAGGCAAAAAGCUUAAAUUUUGGUGUCCAAUAAUUCUCAAAAAUUAUGCCUAAAAGCUGAACAACCUAUAAUCCCCCAUUCUUUUGGAGCUUUGAUAACCAACAAUGGACCGGCAUAAUCAUGGCUUUGGAAGUGAGAGAGUUCCUCUGUUGAAUAGACCAGUAAGUUUCCCAGUGUAAUUUUUUUUUGCAAUUUCUUGUUUAUGGGUCAAUAAAUUGCAUUUUGGCUUAUGGGUUUUGUUUAGUUUUGGAUUAUGGAAUUACCAGGGUAGAAUAAUCUGAUUCAUGUAUAAGAUUUUGAGUUUUCAUUUUGCUUCAUAAAUUUACCUGUUGGGCCAUAAUAUUUCAUGUAUUGGGCCAAGCGGAUUGGGCCGAAUUAUUUGAUUAGUCCAUUUGGGUCAUCAUUAUUAGGCCUUGCCAGUGGGCCAAUUCAUUGGAUUAUCUGGAUUGGGUCUUACAAAGUCUUGGGCCGAAUUGUUGAAUCGACCCAUUAGAUAACUAAAUAUCUUCACUUGGGCUUUGACCGGUGAUGAUGACAAAGAUAAUGGCUGACUGAAAUCUUACAUCGCAUUAAUGAGGAUUGGAAAGUCGGCCAGCGGUGGACAAAGGGGAUGAGAUCAACAGGUAAGCUACCUGUAGUGGGUGGUGUCAGGGGGGUCAGUUGCACACAAAACUGGAUCUUGGAGUAUAUGAUAGCAAGGGCAUCACACAAGUGAAGGUAACUGAUAUUUUUAUCUCUCUCAACACAUUAGAUAUUUUAUCCUCCAUUGUUAACCUUGUGAUCAUCUGUAUUGACUCUCACGCCUGAGCUAUCCCCCGACGGUCGAAGCUGUCAAGCUUUUGGUGUUGACUGUGUUUAUUGUGCAGGAUCAGAGCGUCUUACGUGAUUGGGACGUGAAAGUAGAUCUUGGCGUUAACAUUGGCGCUAGAAGGAGGACUGUUCUAGUGUUCUUGAGUUUUCAAUCACAAACCUUCAUUUGUUCUACGUCGAAAGUUAUGGUGAGGAGUAGAACGGUCACACCGGAGGGAUAGCCGAAGGCUGUGAUUUUGUCUGUUCAGCGUAUUUCUGUCAGAGAUUGUUUGGGUCCUUCAAAGAGUGCUCAUGACAGCACGGCUUCCAAACACGACUCAGUGGGUUCUCGUUCGAGAGCCCAUGGUGAGGCCAGAAGGAGGUUGGUCUUUGCUGCUGACAAAGAACGUGAUCAUGAUCGAAAGCGGGUAUAAGGCACACCGCCUUGAACUCGGCACCGAUAUGGUCAAACUAACAGAGCGUCCAAGCUGGCCAAGAUGGCAGAUGAAGCAGAUAAAGCUUUGGAGGGUCUUCCGAAGCAGAUGAAAGAAGUUUAUGCACUAUGAAGAUAUGUCUCGAGGCCGUCCUCGUGACCAAAGAAGACCAAGGAGCCAUACUCCUGAGGAUCCGAAGAGGAUAUUUCAUCCUAGGGAUUCUCGGGGCUAUGGCAUAAGCAGACAAGGGAGCAGCUCAGGAGGAUAUUCACUUGAGAAUCUGAAGAAGGCACUCUGCCUUGAGUGUUCUCGCCACAGCGAAGGGCUCAUCACCAAAGCAGAUCUAUAAGCCACACUCCUGGAAAUCCGAAUACUUCGAAAAUGUUUCCAAGACGUUGCAGUACUUCAGCAGAAGCAGAGUUCGUGGACACUACAUGCAGACAGAUAUUCUAUUUCGGACAUCAGUGCAGCAGGCUAGCAAGGGGUCGAUUGCAAUAACAAUUCUAUUACCGAUUUAUCGAAGGGCUUUUUCGUCACCAUUGCUCAAAUGUUUGAAUCCAUCCGAAGCAGAGUAUGUUCUUCGGGAAGUUCACGAAAGCAUCUGUGGCGGUCAUUUGGCUGCGAAGUCAUUGGCCUACAAAGUAUUUCGGCAGGGAUAUUAUUGGCUUAUAAUUUUUCAGGAAGCUACGAAGUAUGUGAAGAAAUGCCAAAGGUGUCAGCUCAACAGUCCGAUCCCGCAUCAGCCACCAGAAGAGCUAUACUCGAUCUUAUCUCCUAUACCCUUUGUUGUCUAGGGGGUAGAUAUACUGGGUCCAUUGCCGUAAGCUAAAGAUCAGGUUUUCAUUUCGGCAUUCCGAAGGUGAUAAUAUCAGACAAUGGAAGCCAGUUUGUAGGAUCGAAAGUUUGAAAUAUUCUUGAAAGAACUGGGGAUUCAGCACAGAAAGACUUCGGUAGCUUACCUACAAACUUCAUCGGUGUAAGGAGGUUCGGGUGGACUCGCUGACCAUUCGAUGGUAGCCUUAUUGGCAGGUGGUCCUUAUUAAUUUUUCAGGCCCUUCGUGGUAGGCAAACUUCAUCGGUGUAAGGAGGUUCGGGUGGACUCAUUGACCAUUCGAUGGUAGCCUUAUCGGCAGGUGUGUCCUUAUGGAUUUGUUAGAACCCCAUGUGGUAAACAAAUUUCAUGGUCCUUAUAAAAUUGUUAUACCCUGCGUGGUAAACAAAAAUCCUUUUGUUGCAAGGAGGUUCGGGUGGACUCGCUGACCAUUCGAUGGUAGCCUUAUUGGAAGGUGUGUCCUUAUGGAUUUGUUAGAACCCCGUGUGGUAAACAAAUUCCAUGGUCCUUAUAAAAUUUUUAUACCCCGUGUGGUAAACAAAUUCCCAAUGGUGCAAGGAGGAUCAGCUGGAUUAACCUUAUACAUGAUCUGUCUCACACUUCGGUAACGAUAAGUAUGUAUUACUUUAUUUUGUUCAAGUGUUGAGUUCGGAUUAUGUUAUUACUCAAAUCUUAUUUGUUAUAUAAUUUGCUUGAUUAUUGACUAACAGUUUAAGUUAAGAGGAGCUUGUACAUUUUUUAAGUUGAUUGAUGGUGAAUUAUUGACAAGAAAUGUUCACACAGAAGUAAUAAGGCAUGAAGUUGAUAUUUCAUUAAUAUUAACAGUUCAUAAAAAGUUAGAAUUUUUACAGAAAGUUCUACAGCUAAAGGUAAAGGGGAGGUCAUCUUCAGGCUUCUUCAUCGUCAUCAUUGUCGUCUGAAGAGUCUAGAAGAGAUGGAUCUACCUUAGCCGCGAUAAGCUUUUUCUUGCCUUUACUUCAACAGAUUUCAUAUCCUUUGGCAUACAUAUGGACGAUUUCAUCGCUCAGCUCGGCGGAUUUUCUGUAUUCUGCCUGGAUCUCCUUAUGAAGAUCUUCGGUCAGUGGAGGAUCCAAGUUCCUAAGGGCCCGAAGUUCUCGGAGUUCCUCUUCAAGCUUUUGACGAUGUGCUAGAUAUCUUUCUUCUUUAGCAUGGAUAUUGUUAUUUUGCUUCGCCAAGCUCUGAUUGGACUCGGACAGAUAUUCAUUCUUCUUCGUCAAAAUUUCAUUCUUCUGAAGCAGGUCGACAUUUAUAUCUAUGAUGACUCGAUGUGUAGCCUUGGUCAUUUCCAGCUCUUUUUUGAUCUUGUCGAGAUUCUUCCGAAGGCACUCAUUAUUGAAGAGAGCAAUGUCAAGGUUACUUCUCUCUUUUGCCAAUGCAGACUUCAGAAUGGUGUUCUCCCUUCGGUCGGUGUCCUCUUCGGCUUCGGCUUCUUUGUAUUUGGGACGGAGGCACCCGAAGAUAGCAUUUUCCUGCAGAUGACUAGUAUUAGUCAAUCAGUUCAAAUUGAUGGGCAGGAAUGUAAAUGGAUAAGUCAAAUAUCAAAUUCCUUUAGUUUGAUAUUUCAUUCCUUCGUCCAUCAGGUCCAUGAUGGAACUAUUAUCGAACCAAUGAUCAUCGGUGUCACGAACGAAUGCUAUUAGAGGUCGAAAGGGAAAUUUUCAUUGAAUUUUGGACAGGGAGUGGGGGGAAGCCACAGCUUCGGGCCUGGAUUCAGAAGAGGAUGGUUUUUGUGGCGAAGGUCUGGGUUGUUCGGGAGGCGGUGGAAUAUUUGUUGUUGUAUGUUCGGCUGGAGUGGGCUCUUCAAUUGGACUUCCGGUCUUAAUUCAUCUUACUAUUUGAUAUUCACCAGUCUGGCCUCGGUCAAUUUUGUUAUUUGGGUCCUUUAUACUCUUUCAUUAAACAAACUAUUUAAUAAAAGACUGGGGGCAAUGUUGGGCCAUAAUAUUUCAUGUAUUGGGUCAAACAGAUUUGGCCUAAUUAUUUGGUUAGUCCAUUUGGGUCAUCAUUAUUAGGCCUUACGAGUGGGCCAAUUCAUUGGAUUAUCUGGAUUGGGUCUUACAAAGUCUUGGGCCGAAUUAUUGAAUCGACCUAUUAAAUAACUAAAUAUCUUCACUUGGACUUUGACCGAUGAUGAUGACAAAGAUAAUGGCUGACUCAUACAUCGCAUUAAUGAGGAUUGGACAGUCGGCCAGCGGUGGACAAAGGGGAUGGGAUCAGCAGGUAAGCUACCUGCAGUGGGUGGUGUCAGGGGGGUCGGUUGCACAUAAAACCGGAUAUUGGAGUAUAUGAUAGCAAGGGCAUCACACAAGUGAAGGUAACUGAUAUUUUUAUCUCUCUCAAUACACUAGAUGUUUUAUCCUCCAUUGUUAACCUUGUGAUCGUCUGUAUUAACUAUCACGCCUGAGCUAUCCCCUGAUGGUCGAAGCCAUCAAGCUUUUGGUGUUGAAUGUGUUUAUUGUGCAUGAUCAGAGCGUCUUACGUGAUUGGGACGUGGAAGUAGAUCUUGGUGUUAACAUUACCCUUCUUAAGUUGGGUAUUAGUUGGUUUUUGUUUCUUGAUUACUUAAAAUUUACCCAUUUUCUGGUCACAUUCCAUGUUUAGAAUUAGGAAGUUUUUCCCAACUUGGCAUAUUUCAUAUGAUAAGUUUUGUGUUUAUAUCAUCAAAACUUGGAGCAUAUUGACAUUUUUUAAUUUUCUGGGUUUUUUUUUGUUGGUUGAUUUUGGUCUUCUUUUUUUAACUUAGGGAGGUAGACGGAGAAAUGAUGCAGCCAAAAAUGGUCAGCUGACAGACCUUGAGCUUGGGGAUGCAGUACCGGUAAUUGUGGACUCUUACUUAUUUGAUGUUAUGACGCCUUGGUGAUUAUUGUAAUAUGUAAAUGUGGGCUUUUUUAGAAUACACUACAAAAAAAUGGGGUUUCAGCAACAAUCGAUUUUUCGUUGCUAAAGGUGCCAAAUAUCGUUGCAAAAAGAUUUUGGCAAUGACUUUACUGCCAUUACGUCUUUCGUUGCGCAAUGAGCGUUGCUAAUUGUUCCGCAACGAACGUAUUUUUUUCGUUGCCAAAAGUAAUUCAUUUUGUAAAGAAAUUUGGCUUUCGUACAGAG
rnacentral:lncRNA from 1 species